rnacentral:rRNA from 1 species
AUUGAACGCUGGCGGCAGGCCUAACACAUGCAAGUCGAGCGCGAAAGUCUUCGGAUGAGUAAAGCGGCGAACGGGUGAGUAAUGCAUGGGAAUCUGCCUGGUAGUGGGGGACAACGUCUCGAAAGGGACGCUAAUACCGCAUACGCCCUACGGGGAAAGGGGGGGAUCUUCGGACCUCUCGCUAUCAGAUGAGCCCAUGUCAGAUUAGCUAGUUGGUGAGGUAAAGGCUCACCAAGGCGACGAUCUGUAACUGGUCUGAGAGGAUGAUCAGUCACACUGGAACUGAGACACGGUCCAGACUCCUACGGGAGGCAGCAGUGGGGAAUAUUGGACAAUGGGGGCAACCCUGAUCCAGCCAUGCCGCGUGUGUGAAGAAGGCCCUAGGGUUGUAAAGCACUUUCAGUGGGGAGAAAGGUUAUUCACCUAAUACGUGAGUAGAUUGAUGUUACCACAGAAGAAGCACCGGCUAACUCCGUGCCAGCAGCCGCGGUAAU